GCCACCAACGGGGCACCUCGGCCCGUACGGGAAGGAUACUGCCCUGAGAGCAUUUAUUUUAGUUUAGGAUCACAUGGACAGCUGUAGGCACAUGGAGGAUUGCACAGCUGUCAACAUCUGUACUGUACUAAACCUCUUCCAGCAGAGCUGAAAACCUGCUUCUGUUCCGUGACGUUUACAAGAUUAUUCUAGAUUAGGUGCACAUAAAAAAGGAGAGGAAAAAGGAUAGCUGUAUCAUUUAGUGUAUAUUUUUAUUACACCUUUGUCUGGAUUUUUUUGGGUUUUCGUUUCUCUAGUUGAGCAAUGGCUUUCUCUGAAAUGAAUGGGAUAAGAUAGCUUUAAUAGGAUUGUACCUUGUUUUUUUUUUACUUUUCUGUCUAAAUUGUAUUUCAGAUCUCUUGUUAAGAAAAAUAAGAUUAUUCUAAAAAGAGGCCUGUUUUUUUGUUUGGUUUUUUAAAAAUUUUUAUUGAGUGCAAGUAAGAAAACCUUUACCAGCUGUAAAUUACACCACCCCAGACCAGAGCCCCGAUCUUUAAAUGAAGUGCUUAUAAAGAUUUAAAGUGCUCUUUUAAUUUUAAACCAAUGUAUGCUGAGAUGCCCAGAGCCCUGAUCACUGCCAAAUUUCACUUCCAAUAAAUUUAAAUUGCUUUGUGCAAGACAGAGCAAUUUAAAAUUAUUGGAGUGCUUUAAAUUCCAUACUGAAGUACCCAUAAAAUUUGAAGUCUUCCAAUAAUUUGAAAUCACUCUACAAGUUGUACUGCAAUUUGAGCCUAUUUGAAAACAAACACCCAAGCAUCCUAUGCUUUAAUUUGCAAUGAUAAGCAACAUUAGAAAAUGGCUGUUAAUGAUUUACAAGAAACACUGGCCUGGAAAAUGGAUGAGUCACCACCCUGGAGGUCUUAUAAAAACCAUGUAGAUGUGACUCUUUGCAGAAUGGUUUAGAAAUGGGCUUGAAAGUGCUGGUUUACAUUUGGACUUGCUGAUCUUAAAGGUCUUUUCCAACCUAAACAAUUCCAUGAUUUUAUACCACUUCUCAGUGAAUUAACUGAAAAUUAUCAAACAAAAUGAGGCAGUAAUAAAAGAAGAAAGUUAUGCUUCUUUUUAAGACAAUAGAAUAGUAACAAAAUAGUUUUAAUAGAGGAAUAUGAGAGUGUGAGAUUAGGAAAGUGGUGAAUAUACAAACUAUUCAUGUCUGUGACAACUACUUAUAAUAUAGAUGACUGCUGUUCAGCUGACCACAUGCUAGUACUGAGCAUGAACACACAAGGUAACAAAAUCUAUUGAAUGGAGAAAAAAAUAGAUCAAACAGAAUUAAAAUACAUUUUUAUGCAAAACAAGAGGCAAAAUUGCUACAGUUAUUUUAAUCUCAUGAGGAGUCUUAUUUAAGACCCACAAUGAAGCAGGCUAAGAGACUGAAUUUCUGGGAUAAUCCAUAGCCAGACAGAAGACAAAGUACAGCUCUUGGCAGUGUAGAGCCAUCUAUGACCCUCAGUGCUUCUUUUUCCUCCCUCAUGCCUUCAUGGGUGUGCUGCACAAAGUCUUCAACUAGAUACAAGGAUGCUCCCAGAGUAAAUUUUCUACAACUAGAAAAACUUCGCUCUCAGUGAAAGGGCUACUGGCCUUUAUUGUUUAAAACUGUCUCUGAACAUUUCUAUUUAGUGAAAGAGAGAAGAAAAUUCAGCGUUGCCUAAGAGUGAAUAAAGAUAACUACAUACACCAAAACUUCUUUUUUAAAAAAUUAUUUUGCUUAGAAGAGAGAGAUCACCUUUAUUCCUCCAUAUAUAUAAACUGACUGUGACAGGCAGCUAAGUAACACACAGCUGCUUUCUGACUCCCUCACAAAAAUGGAAUUACAUUUAAUAAACUUUAAAACUGUCUGCCUUAAAGUCAAUAAAAGAGUGAUAUUUUCCUGAAAUUUCCUGGAACACAAAAGGAGCCUGAAAAAUUCAUUGCACAAAAUUUCAGACAAAUUGAUAUAUUGUAGGGCUUUUAAAAAGUUGGACAGGGAAUGAAAAAGAAACAAACAUCGAAGUUGUGACAUGGCAUUAAAAAUUAGUAAAUCCCACAUAUUUUGCAUAGGACAGAGCAAUCACCUUACUGGACUAAAGAAGGCCAUGGAGAGAGGUCAGAGGAAGGACAGGCUGAUUUAAAUAUUUUGGGGGAAGACUGUGAUAAUGUGUUGCAUCUUCCCAUGGGUUACCUGCUGUAAGAUGCUGCUGAGGAAAAAUUCUUAGACUAGAUAUGCCACUGUUGGUCCCACUCUAGCAUUAUCACCAGUCUUAUAUCUCUUUUGUGAGCUUUAGUAAUUUGUGUCUUCAAGGUGCUUUAUUUUCUAAAUGGACUUAAUUUUCAAAAACUGAGCUUAGAAAGCGAGCUCCAGCUUAAGUUUGUUAUGAAAGAGGGUUUUUUUAAGGAUUCUUUGUUCAAAUAGUGGAAUUUGUUAAAAGUAAGGAUAGGAAUUAGUCUUUUGUUUGUUUGUUUGUUUUUGUUUGUUUGUUUUUGGUUUGUUUGUUUGUUUGUUAGGGGUGUCUUGUUUUGGCUUGUUUUUCUUUAAGCCUUUGCUGAGCACAUUAACAUUCUUUAUGUUUAGCAUGAUGCAGAGCAAGGUGAUGAACAUAACAAGACAAACAGACUUUAAAGAUGGCCACAGUUUGUUUUGUAACAAAUUCUCACCACUUAGAAUUAUUCUUAAACCUGGCAUUUUGGUGUAAUUAUUCUUAAACCUGACAUUUUAGUGAACCACACUCACAACAGAUUAUAUCUUGUGUUAUCCAAAAAUGUCUCAGUGGCUCAAUUCCUAGCAGCUAUCUCCCUGCUUGACUAAGCAAUAAUUUUAUAGUUACUGCAGGUCAUACCAGGCUAAAAGCAGUCAUUUAGACUUUCUGUCACUGAAUAAGGAUAUAUGUUCUUGCAACACUUUAUCUGUUCUGUCUAAAAUGGUAGUUAAACUUUGCAUAACCUUAAAGUUUCAGAUAAUUCUAAUUAUAGGAUUUUUUUUUUGUACAAUGGGUGAGAGUUUUAUAUUGAAAUUGCAAAAGUAUGAUUCAUAUGAUUGCUGCAAAUAGCACCACUUGUUGCUAAGUGAAAAUCUACAUUGGCAAGAGUGAGAACAAAAAGUUGAUGUACGGCCAAGAGUGAGUGCUACUUCUUAACUAAUCUAGAGGGAAAGAAUAGCUGAGAUUAAAUGGAAAAGUAGAUAAUUUCAAGGUGACUUCUAAUUUGUUGUUUUCUUUGGUGGGGGGGAGGUGAUGCUUGGUUUCUUUUUAAACAAGCAUAAUGACUUAUGUAGACAAAACAAAUGUAGCUCUCUCCUAUCUGGUAAAAAGCGCUGGGUACAGCACCAUUAGAUGAACUGGUGGAAAUAGAUAAGAGGAAAUUAGUAAAGAGAUUGUGAAAAAAAGUAUCCAAUUAAAAGAGAACAGCUUUGACAUUAACUUCAGUAUUGGGUAGAUAAUGGGAUUCUUUUUGUAUUUAAACAGCAAAUAAAAUUUUCAGAAGUAUUGUGACACAAAUAGCAAAUUAUGGGUAUUCUUAACAGGUAGAAUGUUAAAAUAAUAUUCAAUAAUGUCUGUUUUCUGAAAACUAGAGUAAUCAAAAUGAAUUUUAAAGCUGAUAUGUGAAGACACUAUGUUAUACAUCAAUGUAAUUACAGACACCAGUGUUAAUCUAAGAAGUUUACCAGUGGAAAUGGCCAAAGAAGAUAGAGUUUUGCAGUUCAUUGCUGAAGGAUGUGAAGUACUAAUAUAUUAUGCCUGAUAAUAACAUCUUUUCUCAAUAGAGAGAAAUACCAGUACAAUUGAACAUGGGUUAAUAAAUCAUCCUCUGAAAUGCUCUGCAUAUUUGUGACCACUGACUUUAAAAGAAUUAGAAUUCAAACCAAAACAGGUACAGGAUGAAUCAGGAAUUUGAGCAGCUUAUCAUAGUGACAGUGACUAGAAGACUAUGAUUUCUGUUAGAGGAUAGAAUUGUUCUUUCUAGUCUUAUUCAGAGGUAAAAUAACAUGGGAGUUAAAAACCUACUUUACUUAAAUAUAUUAACCCGGGAAUAUCUAUAUGCCAAAAUAAUCUUUUUUUCUGUGAUGAAGAUUAAUUAUUUUUUUGCACUGGUCUAGGGAAACACCUAAAUAUUUCAUUGUGCUAGAGGAACACGAAGUCUAUAAGUAUCAAUAGUCAAAAUCUCUAGUUUUCCUUACUGUCUUUUAUUCAUAAGCAGUACAUUAACUUACAAUGUGUAAUUAACAUGGUUUUGAGAUGAAAGUUCUAAAAAUUAAAUAAUGGUAUAUAAAACACAUACAAGGGAAUAUUUAAAGUUUUUUUUUUUCCUACAAGUUAUUUUUACAUGUAUAGGUCAGUGCAAAACUUCUAAGACAAUUUCCUUCCACUGUAAAGUAUGAUUUUUAAUCCACAAAACAUGUUUAGAGCUUCUCAGUAUAGACAGAAUUUUAUUUAAAAAUAAAGU